rnacentral:tRNA from 1 species
ACCGCCACUAGCUCAUCUGGAUAGAGCAUCAGCCUUCCAAGCUGAUGAUGCGGGUUCGAUUCCCGCUGACCGCUCCA